rnacentral:rRNA from 1 species
AUUGAACGCUGGCGGCAGGCCUAACACAUGCAAGUCGAACGGUAACAGGAAGAAGCUUGCUUCUUUGCUGACGAGUGGCGGACGGGUGAGUAAUGUCUGGGAAACUGCCUGAUGGAGGGGGAUAACUACUGGAAACGGUAGCUAAUACCGCAUAACGUCGCAAGACCAAAGAGGGGGACCUUCUGGCCUCUUGCCAUCGGAUGUGCCCAGAUGGUAUUAGCUAGUAGGUGGGGUAACGGCUCACCUAGGCGACGAUCCCUAGCUGGUCUGAGAGGAUGACCAGCCACACUGGAACUGAGACACGGUCCAGACUCCUACGGGAGGCAGCAGUGGGGAAUAUUGCACAAUGGGCGCAAGCCUGAUGCAGCCAUGCCGCGUGUAUGAAGAAGGCCUUCGGGUUGUAAAGUACUUUCAGCGGGGAGGAAGGGAGUAAAGUUAAUACCUUUGCUCAUUGACGUUACCCGCAGAAGAAGCACCGGCUAACUCCGUG